rnacentral:rRNA from 1 species
UACGUAGGGGGCAAGCGUUGUCCGGAAUCAUUGGGCGUAAAGAGCGCGUAGGCGGCCCGAUAAGUCCGCUGUGAAAGUCAAGGGCUUAACCCUUGAAUGCCGGUGGAAACUGUCGGGCUAGAGUCCGGAAGAGGCGAGUGGAAUUCCUGGUGUAGCGGUGAAAUGACGCAGAUAUCAGGAGGAACACCAAUGGCGAAGGCAGCUCGCUGGGACGUGACUGACGCUGAGACGCGAAAGCGUGGGGAGCAAACAGG